GGAGGAACAGCUGCCAGGUCAUUGCACUUAGCACAGUUCCUGGCACCUCCACCUCCUCCAUCAUGACUGUUGACUGUGUGGAAUGGCUUGUUAUUGCACUGGCAGUGAGACUCACUUAAAGAAGGUGGCUUUGUUAUGGUUUCCCUAAAAGGUGGCUCUGUCCUUAUCUGGCUUGGCUGAACAGAGGGCAAAUGGGACAGUGGGAGGAGAGGAAUCAACAGUUUCCCAGUUUUUCCCCCAGGCAAUGUGAAACACCUGGGAUUUGGAACCUGAAACCUGAAUUCAAGAGACCAAACUUCCACUAACUGGACGAACCUUGGGCCAUUUACUCAAGCCCUCUGGACUUCAGUUUGUUUGUAUCCUGGAAAAUAUAAUAAGAUUUUUCCCUUCCUGCCUUAUAAUCAAAGAAGCUGUGAUGAUGUAAGAAAUAAGGUUUUGGAAAAUGCUCUGUAAAGAACUGUGUGAAUGACAGCUAUUAUUUUUCAUAAAGUGAUUUCUUUGGUGGGUUCAUAGUGUUGUAGCUCAAAUGUAUUAGGCACCUACUAUGUCCUAGGCAUAGUGUGAGGUGUUUCAAGAAGUACAUAAUCAAGAUGUAAAAGGAGUGGCGUGAAGACAGCUCAAAGAAGGGAGCCAUUCAUAGACAGCACCCACCCCGGGGGGUGUCAUAGGUGCUUCUGUUGCGAAAACAGCCCAGAGCCUUUCAUCCUUUAGAGUUUGAAGUAACAUGGAAGGCAUCCUCAUUUGGCUUCAGGACACCCCCGGGCCAGUCUGUGAAUGGCUCCCUUCUUCGGGCUGUCCUCAUUUGCACCCAAUGGUACUGGCCACCAACUCUAGGAAUGUUGAGAAUUAACCAAAUACGAUCUCUGCCGAAGCAACAUAUGGAUCAUGGAGACUGUGUGAUUUCAAUUAUCAGUGUCUAUUCUAUUAAUAAUAGGUGUUGUAGGAGGAAAAAAAAUAAUAGUGUCAGCUAAAAUUUGCUUUUACAAAUAGGCCAGGCACUAUUCCAAGUGAUUUAUAUAUAUAUAUUCACUCAUUUAAUCUUUACAAGAAUCCUACCAGGUAGGAUCUGGUGUUAUCCUCAUUUUACAGAUGGGGGCACUGGGACACAGAAUGUUUAAGUAACUUGCCCCAAGCCUCUCAGACUGGAGCUGGGGAGCCAUAAUUUGAACCCAGGUAGUCUUGCACCAAAGAAAACGAGGCAUGCUGCUAACCUUGACAGCAGCCUCUAGGACAGCCCAUGGACUGUGCCCAGAAGGAAAAAAAGCAUACUCCGAAUGACAAAAUAAGCUCUGGAUGACCUCUUACUGAUCACCAUCUUUUCCCCAACACAAACUCCAGAAAUACCAGGUCAUUAGCAAUUAUGCAAGGGUUGAGGAGGAAGGAGGUUUUCCACUCUUUAUUCC
rnacentral:lncRNA from 10 species